rnacentral:rRNA from 1 species
UGCGUAGGCGGAGCGUUAAGUCAGUGGUGAAAUCCUGCAGCUCAACUGUAGACUUGCCAUUGAUACUGGCGUUCUUGAGUGCGCUUGAAGUAAGCGGAAUGUGCCGUGUAGCGGUGAAAUGCUUAGAUAUGGCACAGAACACCAAUUGCGAAGGCAGCUUACUAAGGCGAUACUGACGCUGAGGCACGAAAGCGUGGGGAUCGAACA